UAGGGAAUCUUCGGCAAUGGGGGGAACCCUGACCGAGCAACGCCGCGUGAGUGAAGAAGGAUUUCGGUUCGUAAAACUCUGUUGUUAGAGAAGAACAGCGCAUAGAGUAACUGUUAUGCGUGUGACGGUAUCUAACCAGAAAGCCACGGCUAACUACGUGCCAGCAGCCGCGGUAAUACGUAGGUGGCAAGCGUUGUCCGGAUUUAUUGGGCGUAAAGCGAGCGCAGGCGGUCAAUUAAGUCUGAUGUGAAAGCCCCCGGCUCAACCGGGGAGGGUCAUUGGAAACUGGUUGACUUGAGUGCAGAAGAGGAGAGUGGAAUUCCAUGUGUAGCGGUGAAAUGCGUAGAUAUAUGGAGGAACACCGGUGGCGAAAGCGGCUCUCUGGUCUGUAACUGACGCUGAGGCUCGAAAGCGUGGGGAGCGAACAGG
rnacentral:rRNA from 1 species